AGUUAGCUUCUUCUCUCUCUCUCUCCCAAAUGGUCUGCGACUGCUUUUCCUCUCCAGGACUUUGGUAGUCUUCGUCCAAAUCCCUUCGCAUCUGAAGCUCCACCUACACUCGAUCCAUUUCCUCAUCAGUGAUUUGAGGUUCAAUUACUAUAUAGCUUGGAGACAGUAAUAUAAGCAGAAAGCCAAAGGAUAACAGAUCUGUAAUCAAGGUUCAAUUACUAUAUAGCUUGGAGACAGUAAUAUAAGCAGAAAGCCAAAGGAUAACAGAUCUGUAAUCAAGGUAAAUUCUGCCACUAUAUAUUUCCU